GACGAACGCUGGCGGCGUGCUUAACACAUGCAAGUCGAACGGAAAGGCCCUGCCUUUGUGGGGUGCUCGAGUGGCGAACGGGUGAGUAACACGUGAGUAACCUGCCCUUGACUUUGGGAUAACAUCAGGAAACGUGGGCUAAUACCGGCUAGGAGCUCCUGCUGCAUGGUGGUGGUUGGAAAGUUUCGGCGGUUGGGGAUGGACUCGCGGCUUAUCAGCUUGUUGGUGGGGUAGUGGCAUACCAAGGCUUUGACGGGUAGCCGGACUGAACGGGUGACCGGCCAAACUGGGACUGAGGUUCGGCACAGACUCCAACGGGAGGCAACAGUGGAGAGUAUUGUACAAUGGGAGGAGGCCUGAUGCAGCAACGCCGCGUGCGGGAUGACGGACUUCGGGUUGUAAACCGCUUUCGCCUGUGACGAAGCGUGAGUGACGGUAAUGGGUAAAGAAGCACCGGCUAACUACGUG
rnacentral:rRNA from 1 species